CUCCUGGAAACGGGUGGUAAUACCGGAUGCUCCGCCCCACCGCAUGGUGGGGUGGGAAAUGCUUUUUGCGGCAUGGGAUGGGGUCGCGUCCUAUCAGCUUGUUGGCGGGGUGAUGGCCCACCAAGGCGUUGACGGGUAGCCGGCCUGAGAGGGUGACCGGCCACAUUGGGACUGAGAUACGGCCCAGACUCCUACGGGAGGCAGCAGUGGGGAAUAUUGCACGAUGGGCGCAAGCCUGAUGCAGCGACGCCGCGUGCGGGAUGGAGGCCUUCGGGUUGUAAACCGCUUUUGUUCAAGGGCAAGGCACGGUCUUUUGGCCGUGUUGAGUGGAUUGUUCGAAUAAGCACCGGCUAACUACGUGCCAGCAGCCGCGGUAAUACGUAGGGUGCGAGCGUUAUCCGGAUUUAUUGGGCGUAAAGGGCUCGUAGGCGGUUCGUCGCGUCCGGUGUGAAAGUCCAUCGCCUAACGGUGGAUCUGCGCCGGGUACGGGCGGGCUGGAGUGCGGUAGGGGAGACUGGAAUUCCCGGUGUAACGGUGGAAUGUGUAGAUAUCGGGAAGAACACC
rnacentral:rRNA from 1 species